GUGAACGCUGGCGGUAGGCCUAACACCUGCAAGUCGAACGGCAGCACAGUAAGAGCUUGCUCUUACGGGUGGCGAGUGGCGGACGGGUGAGGAAUACAUCGGAAUCUACUUUUUCGUGGGGGAUAACGUAGGGAAACUUACGCUAAUACCGCAUACGACCUACGGGUGAAAGCAGGGGAUCUUCGGACCUUGCGCGAUUGAAUGAGCCGAUGUCGGAUUAGCUAGUUGGCGGGGUAAAGGCCCACCAAGGCGACGAUCCGUAGCUGGUCUGAGAGGAUGAUCAGCCACACUGGAACUGAGACACGGUCCAGACUCCUACGGGAGGCAGCAGUGGGGAAUAUUGGACAAUGGGCGCAAGCCUGAUCCAGCCAUACCGCGUGGGUGAAGAAGGCCUUCGGGUUGUAAAGCCCUUUUGUCGGGAAAGAAAAGCAGCAGGUUAAUACCCCGCUGUUCUGACGGUACCCAAAGAAUAAGCACCGGCUAACUUCGUG
rnacentral:rRNA from 1 species